UGGGGAAUCUUGCGCAAUGGGCGAAAGCCUGACGCAGCCAUGCCGCGUGAAUGAUGAAGGUCUUAGGAUUGUAAAUUCUUUCACCGGGGCGAUAAUGACGGUACCCGGAGAAGAAGCCCCGGCUAACUUCGUGCCAGCAGCCGCGGUAAUACGAAGGGGGCUAGCGUUGCUCGGAAUUACUGGGCGUAAAGGGAGCGUAGGCGGACAUUUAAGUCAGGGGUGAAAUCCCGGGGCUCAACCUCGGAAUUGCCUUUGAUACUGGGUGUCUUGAGUGUGAGAGAGGUAUGUGGAACUCCGAGUGUAGAGGUGAAAUUCGUAGAUAUUCGGAAGAACACCAGUGGCGAAGGCGACAUACUGGCUCAUUACUGACGCUGAGGCUCGAAAGCGUGGGGAGCAAACAGGAUUAGAUACCCUGGUAGUCCACGCCGUAAAACGAUGAUUGCUAGUUGUCGGGAUGCAUGCAUUUCGGUGACGCAGCUAACGCAUUAGGCAAUCCGCCUGGGGAGUACGGUCGCAAGAUUAAAAACUUAAAUGAAUUGAC
rnacentral:rRNA from 1 species